rnacentral:snRNA from 1 species
GUGCUCGCUUUGGCAGCACAUAUACUAAAAUUGGAACGAUACAGAGAAGAUUAGCAUGGCCCCUGCACAAGAAUGACAUGCAAAUUCAUGAAGCAUUCCAUAUAUUU